CGUUAUCCGGAAUGAUUGGACGUAAAUCUUCUGUAGGUGGUUUCAUCCUUCCACUGGCAAAGAACACGGAUUAACCCUGGCCAGGCAGAGGAAACUAUAACGCUUGAGUACAGUAGGGACAGAGGGAAUUUCCUCUGUAUCGGUGAAAUCCGUAGAGAUCAGAUAGAACGAUCAAUAGCGAAAGCAUUCCGUUAGAUCGUAACUUACACUAAGAGAAGAAUGCUACGCGCGCAAAUGCAUUUAGAUCCCCCAAUAGUUCUAUCAGUAAAUGAUGCAUAGUAAGUGCUGUCCGAUUCAAACCGUCCAGUACAGUAUGCUAACGCGUGAAGUAUCCCGCCUGGGGAGUAUGCUCGCAAGAGUAAAACUCAAAGGAAUUGACGGGGGGCAGCACAAUGCGGUAAAACAUAUAUUAUAAUCAAAUGCAACGCGAAGAACCUUACCAGGGCUUGACAUGCCACUUUUUCUCUUGAAAAAGAGAAGUUAAUUGGUGGACACAGGUGGUGCAUGUCUGUCGUCAGCUCUUGUCGUGAGAUGUUGGGUUAAGUCCAGCAACAAGCGCAACCCUUGUUUUUAAUUCCCUUUUAUGUAAACUAGAAAAACCACCGGUCCUAAGCCCGAGGAAAGUGAGGAUGACGUCAAAUCAGCAUACUCCUUUCAACCUGGGGGACA
rnacentral:rRNA from 1 species